UCCUUUGCUGUGAUAAAGAAUUAUAAUAGUGCUAUGAACAGUACCUAAACGAUUACAAACCAUCCCAACCUAUGAACAUUUUUGUUGUGACUUUAAUUAAACGUUAUUUCUCUCUUUUUCAAAUUUAAUGAAAAAAAUCCAGCUGAGGUGAGGCAGAUUUUCCAUCAGCCAUUUGUAAAAAAACAAAAAACAAAAACAAACUCUGGUGCCCAGUCUAGCUAGUAGCAACAGGUGCCUCCCUUGUUGAUCUCCUCUGUUCCAGUAAUGAAGGCCAGCAGACCCAUUCAGUCAAGUGACAUGCAGGGAAGAGAGGAGGAAGAACACCCGUUUGUUUAUUGAUGCAACUGCCAGAGUUGUCAAAGAUAGUAGAUACUGCAAGGGCAUGAAAGAGGGAAGCGGCUAAGUUGUCUGUAUCGAUUCAGAGAGCAAGAACAAGGAUUUCAAUGCCAAGGGCGAAAAAAGAUAAUCGUUUUGUCUCCUACCCAGCCCUUCUAGCUCUGCUGAGGGAAAUUAACAGCCUAGUCAGUAUGAAGACAGAAGGAUAAUAAGUCAUUCCUGAGAAUUUGAGAAGAAGGAAUAUUAUUUUGGGCUGAUUCUGUGGAGUAGAGGUGAUGAAUUCAUGCAGGGGAAGACACAAAGAAAGGGAGAAAGGAAGUAAUAAAUCAGCAUCCUCAGUAAUCAUGCCUCGAAGAAGAAAGAUUACAGUCCUUGUAUCUUCACUAACUGGAGAAGAGCCUAAUGCUGGGAAAGAUUGAGGGCAACAGAAGAAGGGGACGACAGAGAAUGAGAUGGCUGGAUGGAGUCACUGAAGCAGUAGGAGUGAACUUAAAUGGACUCCAGAAGAUGGUAGAGGACAGGAAGACCUGGAGGAACGUUGUCCAUGAGGUCAUGAUGGGUCGGACACGACUUCAUAACUAACAACAACAAUAACAUCUUCACUAAUGCCAUUUGAACAGCACUUUCUGAAGGGAAGAGAUUUUAAUAACAUGGGACAAUCAACCUUUUGGGGGAUGGCAUUAAUCUGAUUUUUAAAAUGUCACACAGAAGUGUGUACUCAAAUUUCUAUUUGUAAAUAUGCUUCCACACACAAUGUGUCUCUAAAUGUGUUGGUCAUAAAACACAUCAGAACUUUCGAAAAAUUGAAAGCGGGUCCAUAAUAAACUCCAUGUGUUGGUGCAGGA